rnacentral:rRNA from 1 species
GACGAACGCUGGCGGUGUGCUUAACACAUGCAAGUCGAACGGAUCACAUGAUUUCGGUUGUGUGGUGAGUGGCGAACGGGUGAGUAACACGUGAGUAACCUGCCCCCUUCUCUGGGAUAACUGUUGGAAACGGCGGCUAAUACCGGAUAUUCACUUUCUCUCGCAGUGGGGGUUGGUGGAAAGUUUUUUCGGUGGGGGAUGGGCUCGCGGCCUAUCAGCUUGUUGGUGGGGUAGUGGCCUACCAAGGCUUUGACGGGUAGCCGGCCUGAGAGGGCGACCGGCCACACUGGGACUGAGAUACGGCCCAGACUCCUACGGGAGGCAGCAGUGGGGAAUAUUGCACAAUGGACGAAAGUCUGAUGCAGCAACGCCGCGUGCGGGAUGAAGGCCUUCGGGUUGUAAACCGCUUUCACCAGGGACGAAUGUGACGGUACCUGGAGAAGAAGCACCGGCUAACUACGUG